GACAGAGGGUGCAAACGUUGUUCGGAAUUACUGGGCGUAAAGCGCGUGUAGGCUGCUCGGAAAGUCGGAUGUGAAAGCCCUGGGCUCAACCUAGGAAGUGCAUUCGAAACUUCCGAGCUGGAGUUCUGGAGAGGAAGGCGGAAUUCUCGGUGUAGAGGUGAAAUUCGUAGAUAUCGAGAGGAACACCGGUGGCGAAGGCGGCCUUCUGGACAGUGACUGACGCUGAGACGCGAGAGCGUGGGGAGCAAACAGG
rnacentral:rRNA from 1 species